rnacentral:rRNA from 1 species
CGUAGGUGCGAGCGUUGUCCGGAAUUACUGGCGUAAGAGCUCGUAGGUGGUUGUCGCGUCGUCUGUGAAUUCCGGGCUUAACUCCGGGCGUGCAGGCGAUACGGGCAUAACUUGAGUACUGUAGGGAGACUGGAAUUCCUGGUGUAGCGGUGAAUGCGCAGAUAUCAGGAGGAACACCGGUGGCGAAGGCGGGUCUCUGGGCAGUAACUGACGCUGAGGAGCGAAAGCAUGGGUAGCGAACAGGAUU